ensembl:antisense Gm15868 predicted gene 15868
AUUCUAAGAUUAAAAUUAAUUAUUAUAUUUCUAGACUGACUCUCAGUCUAGCCCAGACUUGCUUCAAAUUCAGCUAUGUGUCCUAGUCAGGCCUUCAACUUGCAGGGAGUCUUCUGACCUUGUUUCCGGAGUGCUACGUGUAUGAGCCACCAUCUUCCUGGGGAGAAGAUUAAAUGCUAGAGCCAGGUGAAAGCAGUGGUAGGUUAUUGCCUGAAAGGAAGCAUUCACUUUCCAGACAAUAUGGCGAAAUGAGAUUUUAAAAACCUUUCCUGUAAAUGUUUCUGCGGAUCUGAUUCAUGGCAGUCACAAAGUAUAGAGCAGCUAAAGCAGCCCAGCCGCAGCAUCCCCUAUCCACAGGUACAAAGUCAGCCCCAACUGCCAGUGCUUAUUUUGCUUGGUUCUCAUGAGACAAAGACGGUCGGGGUUCACGAUCAUCAUCCAGGGCAUUGAAAACUUCAGCACGGAUCCUUGCUUUUAAAUGUCCUAACACUCCCCUUUUUUCCAAGGUGUCCUUUAAAAC